AUUGUUAGUGUAUCUUUUUAGCUUUUAAUGUGUAUUGUGUGCCUAAUAAAUAAAUAAAGAAUUAAAUGAAACUAGAGAUCCCGCAGUAGUCGAAAUUCGACUAUAAUUAGUUAGAGUUUUGACAGGAGGGAAGAAAAAAAAAUUGGAGGAGAGUAGCAGCCGCCCCCCAAGAACGAAGAAGAGAAGAAAGAAGAAAUGAAGAUGAAGAGAAGAGGGACGAGAAGAAAGAAGUCGUCCCAUCACACACCUCGAGCCUGUUACAUACCAUCCCGCAGUGCAUCACCCCUGCCUCAAUAGGUAGGGAGAUCCAGUCCGGGCAGAGGGGUUACCCCGAGGCCCGCUCCGCGCCCCCGCAAGGGGACGCGACGACCCCACGACGGUGUCAUUAUAUUAUUUCCGAUGUUUUGAAUACUUUUCAGUUCUCGUGGUCACGGACGACUAAGUUAUUGUUCGUUGACAUUUUAAUACUAUUGCAACUACCCACCAAUUUUCAAAAAGCGACCAAUAAGAACGACUGGCGAAUAUCGAAAAAAAUACUAAAUUGUAAACCAAUGUUUAUUUACUGUUCAUUAGAUAAGUAAAAUUUAAGAAUUUCGAAUUACUAAAUCUAUUUUUUACGAAAACUAUUUAAUUUAUGUCACUUCUAAACGUUUCUACGUCUAUGCUGGAAAAUGGCCACAGUUGUUGAACAAAGGAGGGAAAAAGUCACAUUACCUCGUCCCUCUCGUGAUCCGACCUGUUGGCUAUGUUUACUUUAUAUCAUUUUUAUCUGAUACUAUGUUUUGUAAUAAUCUGUUCAGACAAAGAACAGGAAAAAUAUUCGUAUAAUUAAAAAAAAGUCCUUUGAAAAUUA